CCAAGGGCUACCUCUGUUGGUAGAGCGUGAGACUCUUAAUCUCUGGGUUGUGUGUUCGAGUCCCACGUUGGG